UGAUCGUCAUUCAUGGGUCUUGCAUCGGGUGGGGGGACGAGUGACGCCCGGCGAAUACACACCUCCGGUGUUGAUUCGAAAUAGGAAGGGGGAAUCGAACGCAGGGCUCGAUUAGCGGAGAUAUCAGUUGACCCGUCUUUGAUCAGCAAAACAGAAGAACGGAUCGAAGGCAGUGAACAACAGGGUAGAGGACUGUUUGAUGAUUGUUUCGAAGGAAGAGGAGAUCAACGGCAGCAAAGUGACUCGGUAGUGGGAAUCGAUCCCAAAGAGUAAUACAAGAGGUUGAUUAUCGAGCAACUAUAAAUGAGGGAAAAAGGAUCUUCGAUCCUUAGUCUUCGUCUUUAUCUGAUCAGAGAGGAAAGACGAACAGAAGCAGCGAGAGGCAGAUCAAGCGUGCUCCAACGGUUCUUGGUUGCCUCAUUUGUCCGAAAGGAAACGCGAAAGAAAAGGGGAGGGGUCCGACGCUCCUUUUUUGGUCGAACCUCCGUCAUCGACAAUCAUGGAUCGCGUGGAUGGGGUGUUCGGUGGUCACGCAGCCGCGAGGAGGGAAAGGCAUCUUCGGUGCUUGGUUGGACCGAAAAGAAGAGGAAGAUAAGAAUGAAAGCGGCUGUUAACCACAGAGGGAAACAUGGGCGGUGAUUAGGUAGUUUCUUUGAGUUCACAGGGGGGUUGGAUUGUUGUUCACAUUGACAGGAACAGUGGAGUAAAGAGAGAGGCUGUUGCUCAUUAGCUCACCGGGAAACCACAAGAAAACCACCUCCAAUGGAGGUGUUCUUAGUUGUGCAUCGAAACAGAAAGAAAUGAGGGAAGAAAGAUAGAGUGUGAGGGAAUAUUGAGUGAAUUUUGUGUGAUCAAAAAUAGAUAUUUAGAAUACUUUUGUGGUACUUUGUAAUUUAUAAUUUGAUCUCGAAAGUACAUUGCAGGAUUGGUUUCCAUUUGUGCAUGUGGGUGUUUGUGUGUGUGAUGUAUUGGAUAUGUAUUUGUUUAAUUCUUCUUGUAUUCUUGGUUCUUCUAACUUCAUAUACAUAUAUGUAUUUGUGUGUA